rnacentral:rRNA from 1 species
UACGUAGGGUGCAAGCGUUAAUCGGAAUUACUGGGCGUAAAGCGUGCGCAGGUGGUUGUGCAAGACCGAUGUGAAAUCCCCGGGCUUAACCUGGGAAUGGCAUUGGUGACUGCACGGCUAGAGUGUGUCAGAGGGGGGUAGAAUUCCACGUGUAGCAGUGAAAUGCGUAGAGAUGUGGAGGAAUACCGAUGGCGAAGGCAGCCCCCUGGGAUAACACUGACGCUCAUGCACGAAAGCGUGGGGAGCAAACAGG